rnacentral:misc_RNA from 1 species
GAACUUGCAUUGCAUCCUUUAUAUAUUUCUUAUUAAAUAUAACGGAUCAAGUCACUUAGCUUUUAGUUGUUUGAUAUUCUAUCUCUUGAUAAUUUUCUAGUUUUGUGGCUACAAGCUUGUUAUUUAGCCAACCACACUCCUUUAUUUCUUUUUUAAGCUCUCUAGAAUUGCAUUCUAUAUCAAAAGGAAAAAUUUCAGAAACCAAGUGAUGUAAUUCUAGUUAGGGGAAUUAGUCACAUAGGUUACCUUUCCACUUUGUCCUAUGACAUAUUGGCAGUCCUUUUCAUAUUUUCUGCUCUGU